CGUAGGGUGCAAGCGUUAAUCGGAAUUACUGGGCGUAAAGCGUGCGCAGGCGGUUUUGUAAGUCAGAUGUGAAAUCCCCGAGCUCAACUUGGGAACUGCGUUUGAAACUACAAGACUAGAAUAUGUCAGAGGGGGGUAGAAUUCCACGUGUAGCAGUGAAAUGCGUAGAGAUGUGGAGGAAUACCAAUGGCGAAGGCAGCCCCCUGGGAUAAUAUUGACGCUCAUGCACGAAAGCGUGGGGAGCAAACAGGAUUAGAUACCCUGGUAGUCCACGCCCUAAACGAUGUCUACUAGUUGCUGGUGGAGUAAAAUCCAUGAGUAACGCAGCUAACGCGUGAAGUAGACCGCCUGGGGAGUACGGUCGCAAGAUUA
rnacentral:rRNA from 1 species